UCAGAUACAGUAGAUUGGAUCAACCAUGGGAGCGAAAAAUUACCUAACAAGAUGGGAGUGGCCACACACCUGUCAGACCUGUUCCUGAUACAUGACUCCAGCAGGAUUCUCCUAUGCGUUAGUCCUUUGUUCAACCUGUGUUUGUCAAGCUAAAUGAGGAUGGCAGAAACACCGAACCCGGCCACUACCUCCUUUCCAGCACCAACUAUUUCUCUACCCCUUGGAAUGGAAGUAUUGAGGACAUAUUCAGGGGGCCUGAUUUGUUUGGAAAUUGUGUUUGGAGGGUUGGUGUGGAUAUUAGUAGCAUCGACGAAUGUGUCAGUGCCAUUGUUGCAGGGUUGGGUGAUGUUUGUGUCAGUAACCAUGUUCAUCUGUUCGUCUGUAUAUCUUGCCCUGUUUCUGCUGGGCCUGGCAGACAAGAUUAACACUGACUGGAAUUUCAUGGACAUGUUCUAUCAUUUCAUCGCUUUGCUGUUUUAUUUUGGUGCAUUUUUGCUGGAGGCUACAGUUUCAUCUGCGGGUAUAUAUACAAACAGCACCUGUAUACGCAGACCCCGUGGCAAUAUAAUAACAUUUCUGGACUAUAGAGAGUAUAACAUUAAUGCUGCUGCUGCGGUGAGUUGUUAACUACCUUUCUUUUCACUUGGUUUUUCAGUGAUUGUAAUUUUCAGAUUCAAGAACAAUUGGAGAUUUUUCUUGCACUUCCUACAACAGUUUUUCUGUUAUUUGGUAUAUACAAAGAACACACUGAACACAUAAUUAGUAA